GAAAGCCGUGUGCAAUGAAAAAUGCAAGCACGGUUUGGGAAGGUAUUUUUUAUUCUUUUAAAUUUAAAUUUAUUUAAUCGAAAUAAGGAAAUUAUCUACUCCAU
rfam:Gossypium arboreum cultivar AKA8401 contig_3812_5, whole genome shotgun sequence.